UACGUAGGGGGCUAGCGUUGUCCGGAUUUAUUGGGCGUAAAGAGCGUGUAGGCGGCCAAGUAGGUCCGGUGUGAAAACUCGAGGCUUAACCUCGAGAUGUCAUCGGAAACCAUUUGGCUAGAGUCCGGAAGAGGAAAGUGGAAUUCCUGGUGUAGCGGUGAAAUGCGUAGAUAUCAGGAGGAACACCGGUGGUGUAGACGGCUUACUGGACUAUAACUGACGCUGAGGAACGAAAGCGUGGGUAGCAAACAGG
rnacentral:rRNA from 1 species